rnacentral:lncRNA from 1 species
GACCUCGACUUUUACAAGAAUCUCAAGGAUAAUUACAAUCAACUCAAUAAUGUUGCGUUAGACUGUGGUGCAGGAUUUGAUUUCUUAGAUUCUACGUUGGACUGGAUGAAGAAGAAAUGAUAAAAUAUAUUAGAGGGGAGAGGCCAAAUCCACACGACAAGAGCUAGACAGAGGCAAAGAGGAUUCUUGCAGUCAUUAGCGUGGACAACAUACAUUAUCGGGCUGUUACGAUACUACUCGAGGAGGGAA